rnacentral:rRNA from 1 species
GAUGAACGCUGGCGGCGUGCCUAAUACAUGCAGGUCGAGCGAACAGACGAGGAGCUUGCUCCUCUGACGUUAGCGGCGGACGGGUGAGUAACACGUGGAUAACCUACCUAUAAGACUGGGAUAACUUCGGGAAACCGGAGCUAAUACCGGAUAAUAUAUUGAACCGCAUGGUUCAAUAGUGAAAGACGGUUUUGCUGUCACUUAUAGAUGGAUCCGCGCCGCAUUAGCUAGUUGGUAAGGUAACGGCUUACCAAGGCGACGAUGCGUAGCCGACCUGAGAGGGUGAUCGGCCACACUGGAACUGAGACACGGUCCAGACUCCUACGGGAGGCAGCAGUAGGGAAUCCUCCGCAAUGGGCGAAAGCCUGACGGAGCAACGCCGCGUGAGUGAUGAAGGUCUUCGGAUCGUAAAACUCUGUUAUUAGGGAAGAACAAAUGUGUAAGUAACUAUGCACGUCUUGACGGUACCUAAUCAGAAAGCCACGGCUAACUACGUG